rnacentral:rRNA from 1 species
UACGUAGGGCGCAAGCGUUGUCCGGAAUUAUUGGGCGUAAAGAGCUCGUAGGCGGUUUGUCGCGUCUGGUGUGAAAACCUCAGGCUCAACCUGGGGCGUGCAUCGGGUACGGGCAGACUAGAGUGCGGUAGGGGAGACUGGAAUUCCUGGUGUAGCGGUGGAAUGCGCAGAUAUCAGGAGGAACACCGAUGGCGAAGGCAGGUCUCUGGGCCGCAACUGACGCUGAGGAGCGAAAGCAUGGGGAGCGAACAGG